CCCAAAACGAGACAGAAAGAGCAAAAUCCUUCCUGUGGUGGAGCUGCUGUGGGAGGAGAGCUCUUGCCUUCUGGAAGAGGAAGCAACCUUUGCAGCUGUGAAACCUGAGAGAACAAUGGAGGUUGUGUAGACCAGAAGUUACAGGGGGCUGCUCUCAGGGCUUGAUGCCAGAGAUGUCCCACAGCAGCAAUCUUUUCUCUGUAAUAAAUUCUAAACUUCUCUUGACCUUAUUGCUGCAUUCUGGGCUGAAAUACAUCUGAACAACUGAUGGGAGGUACCCCAUAUCUUAAAAUUUGUGGGUAUAUACCGAAUGUCAGCAGAACUGUUCUUGACAAAACCAAAAUGUAACUGAAAGCAUUUUCCUCUUGUUUCCAGGCUGAAUUUGAACUCAGCUUUUUAUUCCUGCCUUAGCCAUGCAGUGGAAGAACAUCUCAUACCACACCCUCCAUCUUGCUGUUGUGAAUUAAGUUGCUUUUUCAAGUGGUUCCUCACAUGCAGAUAUGUGCAAAAAUUGGAACUGAAUUAUUACUUUGUCCUCAGAGAAUUAAAACCUUUAAAAAUGCCUGCUUCUUGCCAAAUGAGACGUAAGAUCCUGAUUUACACCAUCAGUUUUCUAUACAUUGCAAGACAAAGAUGUGAUGAAUGCUGCCUGUGUCUUCAGAGCACAGACAAAUGCUGAGGAAUAAAAUGAAGUUAGAUUGACUAAAUGAGAUGAUU
rnacentral:lncRNA from 1 species